rnacentral:rRNA from 1 species
AUUGAACGCUGGCGGCAGGCUUAACACAUGCAAGUCGAGCGGGGUGAUGGUGCUUGCACUAUCACUUAGCGGCGGACGGGUGAGUAAUGCUUAGGAAUCUGCCUAUUAGUGGGGGACAACAUCUCGAAAGGGAUGCUAAUACCGCAUACGUCCUACGGGAGAAAGCAGGGGAUCACUUGUGACCUUGCGCUAAUAGAUGAGCCUAAGUCGGAUUAGCUAGUUGGUGGGGGUAAAGGCCUACCAAGGCGACGAUCUGUAGCGGGUCUGAGAGGAUGAUCCGCCACACUGGGACUGAGACACGGCCCAGACUCCUACGGGAGGCAGCAGUGGGGAAUAUUGGACAAUGGGGGGAACCCUGAUCCGGCCAUGCCGCGUGUGUGAAGAAGGCCUUAUGGUUGUAAAGCACUUUAAGCGAGGAGGAGGCUCUUUUGGUUAAUACCCAAGACGAGUGGACGUUACUCGCAGAAUAAGCACCGGCUAACUCUGUGCCAGCCGCCGCCGUAA